GGGGAAUAUUGCGCAAUGGGGGAAACCCUGACGCAGCAAUACCGCGUGAGUGAAGAAGGUUUUCGGAUCGUAAAGCUCUGUUAUUGGGGAAGAAAAAAAGACGGUACCCAAGAAGAAAGUCCCGGCUAACUACGUGCCAGCAGCCGCGGUAAUACGUAGGUGGCGAGCGUUGUCCGGAAUUACUGGGCGUAAAGGGCGCGUAGGCGGCUCUUUAAGUUAGAUGUGAAAACCCAGGGCUCAACCCUGGGAGUGCAUUUAAAACUGAAGGGCUCGAGUGCAGGAGAGGUAAGUGGAAUUCCUAGUGUAGCGGUGAAAUGCGUAGAUAUUAGGAGGAACACCAGUGGCGAAGGCGACUUACUGGACUGUAACUGACGCUGAGGCGCGAAAGCGUGGGGAGCAAACA
rnacentral:rRNA from 2 species